GGCAAAAUAUACAACAGACUGUCCCUCCUGUGGAGGAUUCAUUGUUGCUCCUCUAUAUACAUUGCUGUGCAAGUAUUUACAUUUUUUCGUCUAAAUGUUUCGAAGAUCUGGUACGGAGUGUUUACCCAGUCGACUAUGUUCAAAUCGUUAUCGAAAUAAUCGGUAAAUAUCACGGUUUAAGAUUAUUAUGCAGAGCACAAUUUGUGAUGCCAUUUGUGAUUUGUUUUCAUUUAAUAAACAAAAUAAUCAUAAGUGACGUACUGUGCGAUAAAUGUGUAAAUAAACGCCAUAAUAAACUCUGACAACCACUACUGUUUUACGUUAUUUCUUUUUUCUGUCUAAAUGUAGGUAUAUUCUCGCGGACUACUGGUGGUCCCCGGAACAUAAGUUAAGACACACCGCUUUAAAACAUUAAGACCGGCUGAGCGUUGCACGGAGCUUUGAUAUCGUGUAAAACGUCUAAUACCUCGAUGUACGAUAAAUAUUAUAAAUAACGAAAUUAUAAACUUUUAAAAUUCCUGUAAUUAUUUUUAAUAAUUAAUA